rnacentral:rRNA from 1 species
CCUACGGGGGGCUGCAGUGGGGGAUAUUCCACAAUGGGGGGAACCCUGAUGCAGCGACGCCGCGUGGGUGAAGAAGCGCCUCGGCGCGUAAAGCCCUGUCAGCAGGGAAGAAAAUGACGGUACCUGAAGAAGAAGCCCCGGCUAACUACGUGCCAGCAGCCGCGGUAAUACGUAGGGGGCAAGCGUUAUCCGGAUUUACUGGGUGUAAAGGGGGCGCAGACGGCGAUGCAAGCCAGGAGUGAAAGCCCGGGGCCUAACCCCGGGACUGCUCUUGGAACUGCGUGGCUGGAGGGCAGGAGGGGCAGGCGGAAUUCCUGGUGUAGCGGUGGAAUGCGUAGAUAUCAGGAGGAACACCGGUGGCGAAGGCGGCCUGCUGGACUGCAACUGACGUUGAGGCCCGAAAGCGUGGGGAGCAAACAGGAUUAGAUACCCGAGUAGUC